CACAGAGGGUGCGAGCGUUAAUCGGAAUUACUGGGCGUAAAGCGCGCGUAGGCGGCUUUGCAAGUCGGGUGUGAAAUCCCCAGGCUUAACCUGGGAACUGCAUUCGAGACUGCAUUGCUAGAGUAUGGGAGAGGGAAGUGGAAUUUACGGUGUAGCGGUGAAAUGCGUAGAUAUCGUAAGGAAGACCAGUGGCGAAGGCGGGUCUCUGGACAGUUCCUGACGCUGAGGCACGAAGGCCAGGGGAGCAAACGGG
rnacentral:rRNA from 1 species